GAUGAACGCUGGCGGCGUGCCUAAUACAUGCAAGUCGAGCGAACAGACGAGGAGCUUGCUCCUCUGACGUUAGCGGCGGACGGGUGAGUAACACGUGGAUAACCUACCUAUAAGACUGGGAUAACUUCGGGAAACCGGUGCUAAUACUGGAUAAUAUAUUGAACCGCAUGGUUCAAUAGUGAAAGACGGUUUUGCUGUCACUUAUAGAUGGAUCCGCGCCGCAUUAGCUAGUUGGUAAGGUAACGGCUUACCAAGGCGACGAUGCGUAGCCGACCUGAGAGGGUGAUCGGCCACACUGGAACUGAGACACGGUCCAGACUCCUACGGGAGGCAGCAGUAGGGAAUCUUCCGCAAUGGGCGAAAGCCUGACGGAGCAACGCCGCGUGAGUGAUGAAGGUCUUCGGAUCGUAAAACUCUGUUAUUAGGGAAGAACAAAUGUGUAAGUAACUAUGCACGUCUUGACGGUACCUAAUCAGAAAGCCACGGCUAACUACGUG
rnacentral:rRNA from 1 species